CCUACGGGAGGCUGCAGUGGGGAAUAUUGGGCAAUGGGCGCAAGCCUGACCCAGCAACGCCGCGUGAAGGAAGAAGGCUUUCGGGUUGUAAACUUCUUUUGACAGGGAAGAGUAGAAGACGGUACCUGUCGAAUAAGCCACGGCUAACUACGUGCCAGCAGCCGCGGUAAUACGUAGGUGGCACGCGUUGUCCGGAUUUACUGGGUGUAAAGGGCGUGUAGCCGGGUUGACAAGUCAGAUGUGAAAUCCUGCGGCUUAACCGCAGAACUGCAGUUGAAACUGUUGAUCUUGAGUACUGGAGAGGCAGACGGAAUUCCUAGUGUAGCGGUGAAAUGCGUAGAUAUUAGGAAGAACACCAGUGGCGAAGGCAGUCUGCUGGACAGCAACUGACGGUGAGGCGCGAAAGCGUGGGGAGCAAACAGGAUUAGAUACCCCGGUAGUC
rnacentral:rRNA from 1 species